GGUGGCUAAGGCAAUGGUGAGCCUAGUGCGUUGGUACGCACGAGAUUAUGCUGGUUCGAAUCCAGCAGUCACCUCCA
rnacentral:tRNA from 1 species